rnacentral:rRNA from 1 species
AUGGGGUUUUGCUAUGGGUCUUCGGAUAUCAUGGUGCUCCCCAAGAACAGCUCUUCGGCUUCCUCGCUCUCACGGUCCCCUAAAGCUUUCGGCGAUGGUGCCAAGAAGAAGCAGCCUCAAGCUGUAAAGAAGGAAGAGAAAGAGAAGGAAGAGAAAGAGAAGAAGAGGGGCAACCUUGACCGGUCCGCCAUGGCAGCGCCCCACCUCCCCUUCCAUUCUCGACCUGGCCUAAUGUAA